CUUGAACCUGGCAGGCGAAGGUUGCAGUGAGCAGAGAUCAUGCUACUACACUCCAGCCUGGAUGAUGGAGCGAGACUCUGCCUCAAAAAAAAAAGAAGUAGAAUCUAACUCCCUUCCCCAUGAAUCAAGGUGGGUUUGCUUGUCACCAAGAAUGUGGUGAAAAUGAUGCUCAGUGACUUUGGCCAAGUGACUUUUUAAGGCUAGGUCAGAAAAAGCAAGGCAGCUUCUACUGUUUCUCUGGAACCCUCCUCCCUGAGCAACCACAUGAGCAAUCUGACUGCCUAGGAGCCGCCAUGGUGUGAGGAAGCCCAAAGGAGCCCAAGCAGAGAGAUCCCAUGGAGAAGCUCUGAGACUAAAUGAAGAAAGAGAUGUUUGGCCAGCCACCAACAGCUACACACAUACUACCCACCACCCUGGCCUGCAGCUCCAGGCAUCAUCAGAAUGUCACUGUCUGAACGCUGAAAGACAGGAGCCAGAACUGCCCAGGCCUUGUGAUGAACCCAAGAAACACUCUGGACACCGAGGCUCAAGUGAACUCCCUUGGUCAACAAAAUUCCAUGCAUCUUGUCACACAUCAGUGCCAGCACGGUAACAUGUCCUGAUGCCAUGGGAGAAGGACAACAGAAGCUCUGUGUUUGAUCUUUUCCCUGGAUGCUGCUCUAUGCCCUCCUUUUCUUGGCUGAUUUUAAUCUGUAUCUUUUCCCUGUAAUAAACCAGAAGUGUGUAGUAGCUUUCUGUGAGUUCGUCCAGUGAAUUAUUGAAUUGUGAAGGUGGUUUUGGAAGUCCUCCAAACUUGUAGUUGGUAAAGAUGUAGAGAUGGGGUUUUGCCAUGUGACCCAGGCUGGUCUUGAACUCCUGGACUCAGGCGAUCUUCCUGCCUCCGCCUCCCAAAGUGUUGGGACUAUAGGCGUGAGCCACCAU
rnacentral:lncRNA from 1 species